rnacentral:misc_RNA from 1 species
GAUGAAGAACGUAGUGAAAUGCGAUAAGUAAUGUGAAUUGCAGAAUUCAGUGAAUCAUCGAAUCUUUGAACGCAUAUUGCGCUCUCUGGUAUUCCGGAGAGCAUGCUUGUUUGAGUAUCAGUAAACACCUCAACUCCCUUUUCUUUUUUGAAAUUGGAGCUGGACUUGAGUGAUCCCAACGCUUUCUUCCAAGAAAGUGGCGGGUUGCUUGAAAUGCAGGUGCAGCUGAACUUUUCUCUGAGCUAUAAGCAUAUCUAUUUAGUCUGCCUAAAAAACAGAUUAUUACCUUUGCUGCAGCUAACAUAAAGGAGACUAGUUCUUGUGCUGACUGAUGCAGGAUUCACAGAGACAGCUUCGGCUGACUUUGUAAACUCGAUCUCAAAUCAAGUAAGACUACCCGCUGAACUUAAGCAUAUCAAUAAGCGGAAGA